GACAGAGGUGCCAAGCGUUAGGCGGAAUCACUGGGCUUAAAGCGUGUGUAGGCGGGCGAUCAAGUACCUUGUGAAAUCCCACGGCUCAACCGUGGAACUGCUGGGUAUACUGGUUGUCUUGAGCCAGCUAGGGGCGAGCGGAACAGACGGUGGAGCGGUGAAAUGCGUAGAUAUUAGCAGGAACACCAGUGGCGAAGGCGGCUAUCUGGACCAUAACUGACGCUCAUGUACGAAAGCGUGGGGAUCAAACAGG
rnacentral:rRNA from 1 species